CAUUCGAGGUCGGAGGCCUUUCGGGCCAUCAGCCCGGGCGAUCCUCCUGAUCCCACGUUCGCCUCGAGCCUUUGCUCCCCACCGCUCUCUGGGACCUGCACUCUUGAUCAGCAACACAGGACACCUGGACAAGGACCUGAGAACAAGAGAACUGUCUCCAGGAAGGUGAAGGAGCCUCUGCAGAGACAAGGGACCUGAGUACGAAGCAUCCAGUGAAGAGCACCCGAGGAGGGGACGGCAGAGAAUCAUCCCGGGAAAGGACAGCAGAGAAUCGUCCUGAGAAAGGCCGCAGAGGAGGAUGGCAGAGAAUUGUCCUGAGAAAGGCCGCAGAGGAGGAUGGCAGAGAAUCGUCCCAACAGGGAGGUCUCUGUCUUGCUUUACAGGAACGCUGCUACUUUUACGCCAAGUCCGGCAUCAUUCGUGACAAGAUACAUCAACUCCAAGAAUCUCUCCAACAACGUAGAAAACGACUCGCCGAUGGUCUGCCUGGAACGGUGUCUUCCCUUUCCUGCUCCCCUUCCUUGGCCCAUUCAUUGGAUUUUUAAUUGUUUGCUCACUGAGACCUGUUAUAUUUAAUAGGCACAUGUCAUUCCUCAAACAGCAAAUUGACUUGCUUAUGGAAGACCAACACCCCUAUACUGGUCUCGCCUGAGGCGCUGAAUCGGUUAGCCAAAGACGGGUAAGAGAGUCUGAUGAACCCAAUAACUGUUCAGUCCUUCCACCUAAGACAGGAGGCCCAUCAUAGCUAUGGGACUCUCCAAUGACGGGUAAGGAUGGAUGUAUGGUUCCAUAAACGGCUCCAACCUAAGACAGGCACGAUUCC